rnacentral:rRNA from 1 species
UACAGAGGGUGCAAGCGUUGCUCGGAUUUACUGGGCGUAAAGCGUACGCAGACGGCUUGGAAGGUCGGACGUGAAAGCCCCGGGCUCAACCCGGGAAAUGCGUCCGAAACCACCUUGCUUGAGUAUGGGAGAGGGAAGCGGAAUUCCUGGUGUAGAGGUGAAAUUCGUAGAUAUCAGGAGGAACAUCUGCGGCGAAGGCGGCUUCCUGGCCCAUUACUGACGUUCAGGUACGAAAGCGUGGGUAGCAAACAGG